UACGUAGGGCGCAAGCGUUGUCCGGAAUUAUUGGGCGUAAAGAGCUCGUAGGUGGCGUGUCGCGUCUGCCGUGAAAGCCCAUGGCUUAACUGUGGGUCUGCGGUGGAUACGGGCAGGCUGGAGGCUGGUAGGGGCAAGCGGAAUUCCUGGUGUAGCGGUGAAAUGCGCAGAUAUCAGGAGGAACACCGGUGGCGAAGGCGGCUUGCUGGGCCAGUUCUGACGCUGAGGAGCGAAAGCGUGGGGAGCGAA
rnacentral:rRNA from 1 species